rnacentral:RNase_P_RNA from 1 species
GUGAGUGGAAGCUCACUGUAGAGACCACACACUGGGUGCUUGUUACCCAUCUGUCUCUGGGAAGGUCUGAGACAAGAGCCAUUAAGCUGCCCUCACAGGGCAUCAUCUGAAUCAGAUGAGUGAGUGAACAGCAAACAUAGGUCACCAUGGCCACCAUCAGCAGGAGAAGCUUGUGGGUGUGGCUACCACACUCUCAGGCGGAUGCGGUGACCAGCUGACUUGGAAGCGCUCACGGCUGGCUGAUGAGCCCGAUAUGUGAGGUGGGGCAUUGCUCCAGAACUCAAUUCAGACUACUCUCCACUCAU